AAAGGAUAAGAAGUUACAUCUAAC
rnacentral:sRNA from 1 species